rnacentral:tRNA from 1 species
GCGGGAAUAGCUCAGGGGUAGAGCGCACCUUGCCAAGGUGGAAGUCGCGGGUUCGAAUCCCGUUUCCCGCUCCA